rnacentral:rRNA from 1 species
CGGAGGAUGCGAGCGUUAUCCGGAUUUAUUGGGUUUAAAGGGAGCGUAGACGGGAUGUUAAGUCAGCUGUGAAAGUUUGGGGCUCAACCUUAAAAUUGCAGUUGAAACUGGCGUUCUUGAGUGCGGUAGAGGCAGGCGGAAUUCGUGGUGUAGCGGUGAAAUGCUUAGAUAUCACGAAGAACUCCGAUUGCGAAGGCAGCUUGCUGGAGCGUAACUGACGUUGAUGCUCGAAAGUGUGGUAUCGAAACAGGAUU